rnacentral:misc_RNA from 1 species
CCGAGUUUUCAACUCCCAAACCCCUGUGAACAUACCUAUCGUUGCCUCGGCGAGAGAGCCCCGGGCGUUGGCGAAAGCCUCGUACCGGUAUCAGGUGCUCGCCGGAGGACCCAACUAAACUCUUGUAUUCUAAAGAAUCUUCUGAGUAACCAUAAGUAAUAAAUUA